UAAAUAAAUAAAUAUUAAUAAAAAAAAUUAUUUAUAUAAAAAAAGUUUAUUCUUAAACUAAAAAAUUUUUUUAAAAAAAAAUUAAUUAUAAAUAUUAAAAAUAUAAUAAAAAUAAUUAUAUUAUAUUCCUUUUGUAUCAGGAUAAAUUAAAAAAUAAAAUUUAUUUUAUAUUCUCGAAUUAAAAAAAUUUAAAUAAUUAAAUAAUUUAAUAUAACAUUAUUAUUAAAAAUAAUUAUUUAGAAAUAAAAAAUUAAACAAUUUUUAAAAUAUCUAGUUAUUAAAAAAUAAAAUUAAAUUUAAUUAUAAAUAUAUUUUUAAAUAAUAAAAUUAAUUAUUAUUCAAUAAUUUAUAAAUAAAAAUUAAAGGAUAAACUUUAAUUUUAAUAUUAAAAUUAAAUAUUUAUUUAUUUUUAAAUAUAAAUUUUAAAAUUUUUAAUAUUUAAAAAAAUUAAAUAAUUUAUUAAAAUAUUUAAAAAUUUAUAUAUACAUUUAAAAAAUUAUUAAAUUAAUAUUAAUAAUUAAAAUUAAUAUAAAAUUAUAAUUUAAUUAGUAAAUCAAAUAAUUAUAAUAAUAAUUUAAAUAAAUUUAAAUUUUAAUUAAUAAAUUAAGCAAAAAAUAUAUUCACCUGUUUAACAAAAACAUGUCUUAUAGAUAUUAAUUUUAAGUCAAAUCUGUCCAAUGAUAUAAUUAAAUGACUGCAGUAUAAAUAACUGUACUAAGGUAGCAUAAUAACUUGUUUUUUAAAUAAAAAAUAGAAUAAAAGAUUUAAUGAAAUAUAAACUAUAUCAAUUAAAAAAAAAUUAAAUUUAUUAUUUAAGUAAAAAAUCUUAAAUAAAAUUAUUAGACAAUAAGACCCUAUAAAAUUUAAUUAAUAUUUUUAAUUAAUUAAAUAAAUUUUAUAUUAUUAAUUAUAAUUAUUAAUUUAAUUGGGGUAAUUAAAAAAUUAAAAAAAUUUUUUCAAUUUAAAACAUAAAUUAAUGAAUAAAAAAUCUUUAAUAAAAUAUAUUAAAAUUAAUUACUUUAGGGAUAACAGCAUAAUUUUUUUUUUAAGCCCAAAUUUAUAAAAAAACUUAUGACCUCGAUGUUGAAUUAAGAUAAAACCAAAAUGAAAAAAUUUUAAAAUUUAAGUCUGUUCGACUUUUAAAAUCUUGCAUGAUUUGAGUUAAGAUCGGUGUAAACCAGAUCAGAUUAUAUCUUUAAUUAAAUUUUAUAUAAUUGUACGAAAGGAACUUAUAUAAAAAAUAAUUUUAUAAUAUAAAUUAAAAUAAAAAAUUAUAAAUAA
rnacentral:rRNA from 1 species